rnacentral:rRNA from 1 species
UUGAUCCCGCCGGAGGUUACUGCUAUUGGAAUCCGAUUAAGCCAUGCGAGUCGAUCGGGUCAGACCCGAGGCACACUGCUCAGUAACACGUGGAGAAUCUGCCCUUAGGUGAGGAAUAACCUCGGGAAACUGAGAAUAAUACCUCAUAGGUUAUGGAUGCUGGAAUGCUUCAUAGCCCAAAGCCCCGGCGCCUAAGGAUGACUCUGCGGACUAUCAGGUAGUAGUCAGGGUAACGACCUGACUAGCCUACGACGGAUACGGGGUGUGAGAGCACUAGCCCGGAGAUGGAUUCUGAGACACGAAUCCAGGCCCUACGGGGUGCAGCAGGCGCGAAACUUCCGCAAUGCUCGCCAGAGUGACGGAGGGAUUCCAAGUGCCUAUGCUAUGCGUAGGCUGUUUUCAUGUCCAAAUAACAUGGAGAGUAAGAGCUGGGUAAGACGGGUGCCAGCCGCCGCGGUAA